GGGGGAGCAAUUUGUAACAAUAAAAAUGAUCAAAUCUAAAAUUUAUAUUGAAUUUCAGAAUUUGGCACAUAGAAUUUCAGAAUUUGGCACAUACCUUUCACACCUCGAUACAUAAUCUGAAACUCAUGCUUUAUCUCAAAUUUUUGAAGUUUCAUCUUUAAUGAAAUAUAAAAGAAAGGGGGAGUAAUUCAAAAAGUCAAAUUGGAAAUAUUUGGAUGAAAUAGGGGGAGACUUCACUCUCAAAUUUGAAAAGCUGAAAUUCAGCAACUUGAGC
rnacentral:lncRNA from 1 species